GUUGACCUCGGAUCAGGUAGGAAUACCCGCUGAACUUAAGCAUAUCAAUAAGCGGAGGAAAAGAAACCAACAGGGAUUGCCCCAGUAACGGCGAGUGAAGCGGCAACAGCUCAAAUUUGAAAUCUGGCCCCAGGCCCGAGUUGUAAUUUGCAGAGGAUGCUUUUGGCGCGGUGCCUUCCGAGUUCCCUGGAACGGGACGCCAUAGAGGGUGAGAGCCCCGUACGGUUGGACACCAAGCCUUUGUAAAGCUCCUUCGACGAGUCGAGUAGUUUGGGAAUGCUGCUCUAAAUGGGAGGUACAUUUCUUCUAAAGCUAAAUAUUGGCCAGAGACCGAUAGCGCACAAGUAGAGUGAUCGAAAGAUGAAAAGCACUUUGAAAAGAGGGUUAAACAGCACGUGAAAUUGUUAAAAGGGAAGCGCUUGUGACCAGACUUGCGUCCGGUGAAUCACCCAGCUCUCGCGGCUGGGGGCACUUCGCCGGCACAGGCCAGCAUCAGCUUGCCGUCGGGGACAAAAGCUUCAGGAACGUGGCUCCUCUCGGGGAGUGUUAUAGCCUGUUGCAUAAUACCCUUCGGCGGGCUGAGGUACGCGCUCCGCAAGGAUGCUGGCGUAAUGGUCAUCAGCGAC
rnacentral:rRNA from 1 species